rnacentral:lncRNA from 1 species
GGGUGUGGCCGCAUGGCGUGCUGUGGUGCAGGUGGCCGAAGGGGGCGUUACUGUUGCGACUGGCAUCCGCAUCCGGCAGAUGUAGAUGGAACCAAAGUCCAGAAGUUACGCGUCACCCUUGCUCUACAGCCAAACAUGCAGGACUCUAGUAACCCGCGAAAUGAUGGGAUAGCGUUGCAAAUCCUUAAAAGAGUCUUAACGUGUAUAACCUGAAUCUAACCUUGAGAGGACAAAUCCCAACUGAGAGACAUUUUACAAAAUGACUGGUCUGCACUCUCCAAAAAUGUCAAUAUCAUGAAACACAAAGAAAGACUGAGAAAUGGUUCCAGCUAAAAGAAUACUAAAGAGGUAUGCAACUGAAUCCACCACAUAAUCUUGGAUUUUCUUUUGUUAAAAGGGCAAAAAUUAAACCGGGAUAACUUAUGAGCUCUGAAUAGAACAUAUAAAUUAAAUAGUGGUAUUGUAUCAAUGUUAAAUUUCUUAUUUUGACAAUCAUUACUGUGGCUGUGUGUGAGAGGCCUUAAACACACAUUGAAGUAUUGAGGGGUAAAGAAAAAUCAUGUCUACAGCUUACUUUUAAGCAAUUGGGAAAAAGUAGAUAAGAUAAAAUAAAUAAGCAAAUGUAAAAUAUUAAUAUUUGAGAAAAUCUGGGUGAAGGUAUCCAGAAAUAUGUAUGAUUCUUGUAACCAUUCUCUGAGUGUCAAAUUAUUUUUAAAAAGCCUUUAUCCUACAACUUUUAAAAACACAAACUGAAUCAACAAUUAAGAAAAUGUUGCAAGUAAUUUUCAAAAAUAAAUUCUAGUGGACAUUUAUUCAUUAUUCCUCUAUUCAUUAAACACUUCUUACCUACUUAUUUAUAAGCUUUUCCCCUGAGAAGUUUCAUUUUACUGUGAAACAUUAUUAAAAUGAAAUGAUGAGAGUUUAAGCAUUUUUAAAUUGAUAGCAAGUAAAUUCAAACAAAAGUGUUACAAUAUUUUUUAUUUUAAGCAAAUGAGGGAUUCCAUUUUUUUAAAGUUUUUGAUUGAAUUAGAAAAUUUUAAUUACAAUAUUAAGAAACAUGAUUCUUUUCUACCCUACCAACAAAAAACACUAUUAAAUAUUUUAAAAAUACUUCAUUUUUUUUUAAAAGGCAUACUCCACUCCCACUCCCAUCACCUCAAAAGGGAAAGAAACCUUGGCCCUGUUAAAUAAGUUAAAAAGUUGAUUUUCAGUUUCAGAGCUUUUUUCAUUUUCAAGGGGAAAAAAUGAUUUUAAAUUCAUCCACUAGAGGGCGUCUAAUAAUUUUACUAUCACUCCAGUCAAGAAACCCCAACAAGUGCAUUCAGCUAAUUUUAUCUUAUGAUUCAGACUUUUUUCCCACAUUACAAAGUGAGACUUUUAGUUUUCUGUAAUUCUUUGCAACCUGACCUUAUUUAAAGUUCAGCUUUGAAUUAGAUCCAACAGAGGCUGUGAGUUAAAGUCUUUGGAAGGCUUACUUCACGUAGAACCUGAGAAUCUUAUAUUUCUUUAAGGUUUUAGCUACUUCCCUCUGCACCAUCCCAGCUGGACUUGGAACCAUAUGACCUGAGUUUUACUUUCUGCUCUGCCCUGGGCCACAUUUUCGUCUUAAUAUUUCAUGUUUUAAAGGCAUAAUGAUGUCACUGACUGGCUGAUGAAAUCCCAAGCGUAGGUAGUAUGCUACAUGAGGGGUGAGUUUUUUGCUAACACCACAAAGGUCUCUGGCCCAAUGAGUGGAGUUUGAUAGGAGUUCUUGUGACAAGUCUAAUGUUAUUGCAUGCCAGUUUUGAGGAGAGAUGAAAACAUUUGAAAAGCAGUGUGUUUUUUUUCUACGUUUGUCUGUAUUUCUUACUCAGGCCUCUCAGGCAUUACUUGGCCUUUCUGUUUUCACACCAACUUGGUGAGUUCUACUAUAAGAUUCUAAAAAGAUGGGUAGUGCGUGGUUCAAAUUGGUUCAUUUGUAACUGGAAAAAAUUUAUAAUUAAAAAAAUAAAAUAUGUUUAAAAAAGCCAUAAUGAUGAAACUUUCAAUUAGCAAUGACUUUGAAACAUAGUACUAUGAUUGAGUUAAUGGCUAUCUUAUUUAACACAUGCUUAUUUUUUAAGCAACUCUUUGGUAAAAUAAACUAUAGCUGGCAUUCUCUGUCAUAAAAGAUAAAGCAGUUAUAUCCUUCAAUCAGGGAAUUUAAUAUUUGGUAGUGCAGAUUUAAAAUGUAUGUGACCCAGGUAAUACAAGAUAGACCAAUAAAUUUUAAGAAAGGUAUAAUAAAGUGUACACAAAUUCAGAAUCUUACUUGCCCAUAAAUUAACUUGCUAUUGUCUUAGUUCCGUUUAUUUUGUGCUCCAAGGCCAUGUUCAUUUGAAUGAUUUAUGUAGAGAUCCACUUUGCUUUUAGUUGUUCAUUUGUCCUUGGAUUAUAUUUCUUUAAUUUUGGUAUAUUUCUCCUCUCUUGCCCCUGGCCCUGGUUCUUAUCAGUGUUUGCUUUAUUUUGCCAUAAACAAGAACAUUCUGUUUUUGUUUUUCACAGUCAAUUGCAGUUGUUCAUUUCUUCUUAGAAUAUUAUCUUUAACACUCACCUUACCCACACUAAUUACACCCUUACCUAGUGUUGUCCACAGGUAAUUAUCUUCAGAUGUGUGCUUCAGUUUCCUCAUCUACAUACAUGGAGAAAAUAGUAAUAUCUACCUCUAAGGCCUAUCAUGACAAUAAAUGAGUUAAUACAUGCAAAGCACCUGGAAUAGUGCCUGGAACACAGCACUUUAUAAAUCUUUACCAUUAUUAUAAUUAAAACUUGAGGCACACAAUUUUUAUAUGUAUCCAUAUGCGUUUAUAUGUUUAUAAAUGUGUAUCAUAUAUAUUUUUUUCUUGAUGUGUUUUAAGCAUCAGUUUUCACUUCAAGCUUUUUCUGCCUUUUUCUUCCCCAGCCUCCUACAGGUAAAAAGGAAAUAGACAAUAUUGCAGUGUUCACUGGGCAGAGUUGGGUAGAGUGUAGUAGUUAAAAGAGCUGGCUGCACCCAUUAACUCGCAUGGCACAUGUAUACAUAUGUAACAAACCUGCACGUUGUGCACGUGUACCCUAAAACUUAAAGUAUAAUAAUAAUAAUAAAAUAAAUAAAUAAAUAAAUAAAUGGGAAGCCUCUGACUGUUAAAAAAAAAAGAGCUGGCUAUGGAUAUGGCCAUAUAUAGAUAACUAAAUAUACUGAUAUACUGAGAUUUCCACUUAGUAAACAGUAAUUUUGGGCAUGUUAUAUAAUAUUGGAGGUUUAGUUUCUUCAUGUGUAAAAUAAAGAUAAUGAUUGUGCAUAAUUUAUGUGAUUGUUGGAAGCAUUAUAUGAAAUAUUGCAUGUAAAAGCUUAUUUAUUUAAUAUUUAUUCACUGCCUGUUCUGUGAACCUAGCAUGUAAAAGCUUUUAGCCAAAUUCCUGGCACAUAUUUAUGUCUUCAAGCAUUAUUUAUCAUCAUCAACAUUAUUGCUAUUGUUAUUUCUGCUAGUAGCACAGUACUAUGUUGUAGCACAAUGUUAGGCAUAUUGUACCUGUGUGAUAAUAUUUAUUGAAUUUAAACCGUUGGCCAAUGUCAGUAGUGCAUUCUACACCAGUAAAUUCUCUGUGUGUUAAGGCAAGCCUCCACACAUCUUCAGACAACAUAUCUUUACACUAAGGACUAAGGAGUGGCCCACAUUUCUUGCCGGCAGGCCUGGGUUAACCAUAGAAUUUAAAAGCUGUCAAUAUGUAAUACUCUGUAUUAGUACAGAUAAACUAGUGAUAAGCUUAACACAGAUAAGCUAUGAACUCUUUCUGCAAAUAACCUGCUACUCUGGAAUUCUUGUGGUAUUAAAUGACUCUUAUUAGAAACCAUG